GACGAACGCUGGAGGCGUGCUUAACACAUGCAAGUCGAACGAUGAAAUGGAGCUUGUUCCAUGGAUUUGUGGCGAACGGGUGAGUAUCACGUGAAUAACCUGCCCUUAAUUUUGGAAUAACCCAGGGAAACCUGGGCUAAUACCGGAUAAGUAAACCAGUGGCAUCACAUGCUUUUGGAACGUUUUUCGAUUUAGGAUGGAUUCGCGGCCUAUCAGCUUGUUGGUGAGGUAAUGGCUCACCAAGGCGACGACGGGUAGCCGGCCUGAGAGGGUGAACGGGCACACUGGGACUGAGACACGGCCCAGACUCCUACGGGAGGCAGCAGUGGGGAAUAUUGCGCAAUGGACGAAAGUCUGACGCAGCGACGCCUCGUGAGGGACGAAGGUCUUCGGAUUGUAAACCUCUUUCAGCAGGGACGAAGCGAAAGUGACGGUACCUGCAGAAGAAGCACCGGCUAACUAUGUGCCAGCCGCCGCAGUAA
rnacentral:rRNA from 1 species